rnacentral:rRNA from 1 species
CCCUAUGGGGUGCCCUGUAAAGCGGCUUCUUCCAGCAGACCAAUGCACAACCCGGUUUUCCCUGAACCGGUCAUGCCGAUUACAAUACCGUGCGUGGUCAGGUUUGAGGGGUCCAGCAUGACGGGGUCGGCGGAGGGACCGCCAGUUUUCGGGUCGAAAACCCUGCCUAAAAAGUAAUUGCCAGAUGUUGGGGCCAUGUUUCUCUCCAUCCUGAUUUUUCUUUAAUUAUAGACCAAGUUACAUGAGUCGAAACCGAUAGCAAAAUUAUUCGCAUAUGCAGUUAUUGUAUAAUCAAACUGUUCAAAAGCGAGGUUAUCACUUGACUGAAUCAACGGUCUAUCCCAUACAUCUUUUAGAUGGUAAGUGGGAAACAUCCCUGCCGGAAUGGGCGGGAGGGC